UAAGCAAUCACUUUCUGCAAAAAUGAGUCUUCUUUUAAAUACCACAAGUUUGUUCUAUGGAGCACCCAUUAGAACCAGAUCUACAUCGUUGCACUGCGAGACCCGAAUGUUUCGACCCGUUUCUUCAUCUUCAUUCUCUUCUGUUUCUGCAAUUUUGACCAAGGAACAGCAAUCAAACCUACCGGAAAACAAAAUCGAAGAAACCCAUUUGAAAUUGGCGUUUGAUUUCAAGUCUUACAUGUUGGAAAAAGCUAAUUCGGUAAAUCAAGCCCUAGAUUCCGCUGUUCCACUCAAACACCCGGAAAAGAUCCAUGAAUCUAUGCGGUACUCCCUUCUCGCCGGCGGAAAACGCGUCCGACCGAUGCUGUGUAUCGCCGCCUGNN
rnacentral:lncRNA from 1 species